ensembl:snRNA U6 U6 spliceosomal RNA
GUGCUCACCUGGGCAGCCCAUAGACUAAAAUUGGAACGGCACAGAGAUUAGCAUGGCCCCUGUGCAAGGAUGACAUGCAAAUUCGUGAAGCGUUCCAUAUUUUU